UAUUCCCAAACAACUCGACUCUUAGAAAGUGUAUCACAUGAUCAUAGUAAUCUGCAUCAAAGACGGGAGUUUCACCCUCUAUGCCAACCUAUUCCAAGGUACUUAUACGCAGGCUACAAUCGAAAACACUUCUUGAGAUUACAAUGCGGUUGCCUGAAAGACAACAGCUUUUAAAUUUGAGCUUUUCCCUCUUCACUCGCCGUUACUAGGGGAAUCCUUGUUAGUUUCUUUUCCUCCGCGCUUAUUGAUAUGC
rnacentral:rRNA from 1 species